rnacentral:rRNA from 1 species
CACGUAGGGGACGAGCGUUGUCCGGAUUCAUUGGGCGUAAAGCGCGCGUAGGCGGUUACGCAAGUCGGUUGUGAAAAUCCGGGGCUCAACCCCGGACCUGCAUCCGAUACUGCGUGACUAGAGGUAGGUAGGGGAGAUCGGGAAUUCCUGGUGUAGCGGUGAAAUGCGCAGAUAUCAGGAAGAACACCAGUGGCGAAGGCGGCUCACUGGCCCGGAACUGACGCUGAGGUGCGAAAGCGUGGGGAGCAAACAGG